GAUGAAGAACGUAGCGAAAUGCGAUAAGUAAUGUGAAUUGCAGAAUUCAGUGAAUCAUCGAAUCUUUGAACGCACAUUGCGCCCUCUGAUAUUCCGGGGGGCAUGCCUGUUCGAGCGUCAUUAUAACCACUCAAGCUCUCGCUUGGUAUUGGGGUUCGCGGUUCCGCGGCCCCUAAAAUCAGUGGCGGUGCCUGUCGGCUCUACGCGUAGUAAUACUCCUCGCGUCUGGGUCCGGUAGGUCUACUUGCCAGCAACCCCCAAUUUUUACAGGUUGACCUCGGAUCAGGUAGGGAUACCCGCUGAACUUAAGCAUAUCAAUAAGCGGAGGA
rnacentral:misc_RNA from 1 species